rnacentral:rRNA from 1 species
GACGAACGCUGGCGGCGUGCCUAAUACAUGCAAGUAGAACGCACAGUUUAUACCUUAGCUUGCUACACCAUAGACUGUGAGUUGCGAACGGGGGAGUAACGCGUAGGUAACCUGCCUGGUAGCGGGGGAUAACUAUUGGAAACGCUAGCUAAUACCGCAUAAUAUUGAUUAUUGCAUGAUAAUUAAUUGAAAGGUGCAAUUGCACCACUACCAGUUGGACCUGCGUUGUAUUAGCUAGUAGGUGAGGUAAUGGCUCACCUAGGCGACGAUACAUAGCCGACCUGCGAGGGUGAUCGGCCACACUGGGACUGAGACACGGCACAGACGCCUACGGGAGGGAGCAGGAGGGAAUCGUCGGCAAUGGACGAAAGUCUGACCGAGCAACGCCGAGUGAGUGAAGAAGGUUUUCGGAUCGUAAAGCUCUGUUGUAAGAGAAGAACGGGUGUGAGAGUGGAAAGUUCACACUGUGACGGUAUCUUAUCAGAAAGCGACGGCUAACUACGUG